AACUCUACUGGGACUGAGACACGGCCCAGACUCCUACGGGAGGCAGCAGUAGGGAAUCUUCGGCAAUGGACGAAAGUCUGACCGAGCAACGCCGCGUGAGUGAAGAAGGUUUUCGGAUCGUAAAACUCUGUUGUUAGAGAAGAACAAGGACGUUAGUAACUGAACGUCCCCUGACGGUAUCUAACCAGAAAGCCACGGCUAACUACGUGCCAGCAGCCGCGGUAAUACGUAGGUGGCAAGCGUUGUCCGGAUUUAUUGGUCGUAAAAGCGAGCGCAGGCGGUUUUCUUAAGUCUGAUGUGAAAGCCCCCGGCUCAACCGGGGAGGGUCAUUGGAAACUGGGAGACUUGAGUGCAGAAGAAGAGAGUGGGAAUUCCAUGUGUAGCCGGUGAAAUGCG
rnacentral:rRNA from 1 species